rnacentral:lncRNA from 1 species
CAUACAUAAGUACUUUAGAAGUUAUAAUGUAUGUUUUGGUUAAAAAUAUUUUGAGGUGGGGAUGGUGGUUCAGUCUCUAAUCCUCACAAUUCUCAGGAAACUGGGAUAGGAUUACCAAGAGUUGAAGACUUGUCUGGGACAUAUACUAAGACCAGGUUAAGAUAUUGGAAACAAAAAGGAAAUGCUUUGGGGAGGUGAAGAAGAAUGUUUCUCUGGUAGAGCUUUUGCCAAGCUUGCACACACAUUGCCCCAAGGCCAUGCAGAGAAAGCAGUGGGCUUGUUGGGUUGGUUGCUGGUCUUCACCUGGCUCUCCUUUACUCCUAGACUCUGAACAGGAAGUGCCCCCUGGAACCACAGAGUCUGUGCAGUCUGUGGACUACUACUGUGACAGUGAGUUCAAACAUGAUCCUUUGACCUUUAUGUUAAAAGUUGACCUCUCGGGGCUGGGGAUUUAGCUCAGUGGUAGAGCGCUUGCCUAGGAAGCACAAGGCCCUGGGUUCGGUCCCCAGCUCCGAAAAAAAAAAAAAAGACCC